rnacentral:lncRNA from 1 species
CAUGGACUCAUCCAAACUCUCAUUGCUCUCUCUCUGUCUCCUCAUUUGCAUUAUCUGUUCUCCCCAACACUCACUCUCAUGCGGUUCCUGCAACCACCAGAAGGGCGGAUUACCCUCAAUUAAACCCCCUGUCACCAUUCCCAAGCUUCCUGUUCCUCCGGUUACUGUUCCUAAGGUACCCGUUCCUCCAGUAACUGUCCCUAAUCUACCCGUUCCUCCUGUAACUGUUCCAAAGCUACCUAUUCCUCCGGUGACCGUACCUAAACUUCCAGUUACCGUACCUAAACUCCCAGUUCCUCCGGUGACAGUCCCUAAGCUACCCAUUCCGCCAGUGGCCAUUCCAAAGGUACCCGUUCCUCCAGUUACUGUCCCAAAGGUACCUGUUCCUCCUGUGACUGUCCCUGAGCUUCCACUUCCUCCAGUGGGCGGGCUACCCACAUUGCCACUACCACCAUUACCAGGGACUAUCCCACCAGCCACAGGAGGGAAGGAUUGUCCUCCAACCCCGGGUAGCGAGAUGCCCCCAUCAGGCAGUGGGAAGGCCACAUGUCCAAUAGACACGCUUAAGUUGGGGGCGUGUGUGGACUUGU